GACGAACGCUGGCGGCGUGCUUAACACAUGCAAGUCGAGCGGAAAGGCCCUUCGGGGUACUCGAGCGGCGAACGGGUGAGUAACACGUGAGUAACCUGCCCUAGACUUUGGGAUAACCCUCGGAAACGGGGGCUAAUACCGGAUACUCCUUCUAAAUCGCAUGAUUUAGUUGGGAAAGUUUUUCGGUCUGGGAUGGACUCGCGGCCUAUCAGCUUGUUGGUGGGGUAAUGGCCUACCAAGGCGAGGACGGGUAGCCGGCCUGAGAGGGCGACCGGCCACACUGGGACUGAGACACGGCCCAGACUCCUACGGGAGGCAGCAGUGGGGAAUAUUGCACAAUGGGCGGAAGCCUGAUGCAGCGACGCCGCGUGAGGGAUGACGGCCUUCGGGUUGUAAACCUCUUUCAGCAGGGACGAAGCGUAAGUGACGGUACCUGCAGAAGAAGCGCCGGCCAACUACGUG
rnacentral:rRNA from 1 species